GUGGGGAAUAUUGGACAAUGGGCGCAAGCCUGAUCCAGCCAUGCCGCGUGAGUGAUGAAGGCCUUAGGGUUGUAAAGCUCUUUCAGUGGGGACGAUAAUGACGGUACCCACAGAAGAAGCCCCGGCUAACUUCGUGCCAGCAGCCGCGGUAAUACGAAGGGUGCUAGCGUUGUUCGGAUUUACUGGGCGUAAAGCGCACGUAGGCGGAUCGUUCAGUCGGGAGUGAAAUCCUGGAGCUCAACUCCAGAACUGCCGUCGAUACAGGCGAUCUUGAGUCCGGAAGAGGUGAGUGGAACUCCUAGUGUAGAGGUGGAAUUCGUAGAUAUUAGGAAGAACACCAGUGGCGAAGGCGGCUCACUGGUCCGGUACUGACGCUGAGGUGCGAAAGCGUGGGGAGCAAACAGGAUUAGAAACCCUUGUAGUCC
rnacentral:rRNA from 1 species